CACAUUUAAGUGAUUAGAACCUGUCAUUUUUUGUUGUUGUUUUCAGACUGACACAAAUGACAGGACAAAGAAACAUACAAGGAAAUAAAAUGAAAAUUCAGAACAGAUGUUAGGACACAUUUUUCAUGCUGAAUGUGCAGAGUGGUCAACCAGGAAUUCAGCCUUCUAUUACAUAAAAUGCCCGAGGAAAUAAAGCUAAUUAUUAAUGACAUCUGGAUGCAAGUUUCCAGUGCCGAAAACACUGGAUGCAAAAAGAAGAAAGAAAAAAAAAGAAGAAGGAAAAAAAAAGUGAUUGUGUGGAUCAUUCCUCUUCCACAUAAUUUGUUAAUGUAUACAGCAGUAGAGAAUUUUAAGAGAUUCCUUUCAUGCAAUUGAGAAGUUGUUUUCUGAUAUUGAAGAACAGGAUGGUGGCAGGAUAGGGAAGAACUGAGAUCUGAAAAUGUGGGGAAAGAUAUGAAAUGAGCAUUUGUAGUUGACCAGAAGUAGUGUAAACUACAGUGAUAGGGAAUGUACAGAUACAGGGAAAAUAUCUAGGUUUAACGAGAGUGAAAAGUGAAUGAAGACCACUUGAGGGUGGGAACAUCAACAGUGAGAUUAAUGGUGAGCAGUGGCAGCAGCUGCUGUGUCAGUAGAGUAUUAAGUCUGAAGACGUUUUAGGCAUAAAAAUUCUAUAAGGGGAGACAUUCCAUGUGGUAAAACCAGGUUUAUGCUAUCUGCAAUUUUCUAAGACACACUGGACAUCAAUUGUAUCAAAUAAAUAUUAUCAGAUGGCCA
rnacentral:lncRNA from 1 species